rnacentral:rRNA from 1 species
GGCGAACGCUGGCGGCGUGCCUAAUACAUGCAAGUAGAACGCACAGUUUAUACCGUAGCUUGCUACACCAUAAACUGUGAGUUGCGAACGGGUGAGUAACGCGUAGGUAACCUGCCUGGUAGCGGGGGAUAACUAUUGGAAACGAUAGCUAAUACCGCAUAAUAUUAAUUAUUGCAUGAUAAUUGAUUGAAAGAUGCAAUUGCAUCACUACCAGAUGGACCCGGGCUGUAUUAGCUAGUAGGUGAGGUAACGGCUCACCAAGGCAACGAUACAUAGCCGACCUGAGCGGGUGAGCGGCAACAGUGGAACUGAGACACGGUCCGGAGCACUACGGGAGGCAGAAGUAGGGAAUAUUGAGCAAUGGGCGAAAUCUGGGCGGAGCAAAGAAGCGUGAGUGAUGAAGGUCUUCGGAUAGUAAAACUAUGUUAUUAGGGAAGAACAAAUGUGUAAGUAACUAUGCACGUCUUGACGGUACCUAAGCAGAAAGCCACGGCUAACUACGUG